rnacentral:rRNA from 1 species
UACGUAGGGUGCAAGCGUUAAUCGGAAUUACUGGGCGUAAAGCGUGCGCAGGCGGUUUUGUAAGUCUGUCGUGAAAUCCCCGGGCUUAACCUGGGAAUUGCGAUGGAGACUGCAAGGCUAGAAUCUGGCAGAGGGGGAUGGAAUUCCGCGUGUAGCAGUGAAAUGCGUAGAUAUGCGGAGGAACACCGAUGGCGAAGGCAAUCCCCUGGGCCUGCACUGACGCUCAUGCACGAAAGCGUGGGGAGCAAACAGG